CGUUUAGGGGUAAACCUGAGAAACCCGAAAGGUCGAAGGGAGAAAUUCAUUCGCGUUUCGUAGUUGGCGUGAGACGGUGUUGAGUGACGGAAAAUGUGGUUGUGUGUUUCUACAUAUAAUUAUAUAUUCUGCGCCCGCCGUUUUUCGAUCUGACAGCGAACGCGUGCACUUUUCUCCUGGUAGGACGUCGCGAUCCGUUGGGUGUCGGUCUACGGCUUGUGGAGGAGCCCGUUUGCCGCUUCGGCGUGUGCGAGCGGACCCACAAUGUCCUGGCCGACUCGCUCGACGGUAUAAGAAAGGUUAGGGGCCGCUCUUAGGAGCGUCCGACUUGCGGCAAGCGCGUCAGAUGUGUUGGCCAUCGGACCUAGUGCCGAUUCUGACCUCUGAUGACUGUUGGCCGUGAUGUUCUCGGACAGACCUCACACAAACAAACAAUGUAACAUAACCGAUCUGCGACGCUAUAGUUUUGGGUACUUUCAGGACCCGUCUUGAAACACGGACCAAGGAGUCUAGCAUGUACGCGAGUCAUUGGGAAUCACUAAACCUAAAGGCGUAAUGAAAGUAAAGAUCUUCCUUGCGGAGAUCGAGGGAAGACGGGCGAUUCACCCUUAAAAGUGAUCGUUCAGCAUUCCCGGGGCGUCUCGUUCUCAUUGCGAGAAGAGGCGCACCAAGAGCGUACACGCUGGGACCCGAAAGAUGGUGAACUAUGCCUGGUCAGGACGAAGUCAGGGGAAACCCUGAUGGAGGUCCGUAGCGAUUCUGACGUGCAAAUCGAUCGUCGGAACUGGGUAUAGGGGCGAAAGACUAAUCGAACCAUC
rnacentral:rRNA from 1 species